CUUCUAGUGCAAUGUCCCAGAAGGUGGGCUUGUGCCCAAGUCACUCUACCAAGCAGAUGAGGAGCCAGAGAACCCAGAGCACAUCCGGUUAUGGACAGAAACGAUCUAUCAUUCUGCAAGUGUCCUCAAAGGAGCUCCGCAUGAGAUAGUUGUAGAGAUUUUGGAAGGGGAAUCUGUGAUCACCUGGGACUUUGACAUCCUGAAGGGAGAUGUGGUGUUCAGCCUCUUUCACUCCAAACGAGCUCCUGAAACUGGUCGCAAAGAAGCCACGUUACCAAGUACCUCUCUUGCGGGGGACAAUACGCAGCUGAUUGAUAAGACCUGGGUCCUGGGGGUGGAUUACAGCCGUAUGGAAUCUCCGCUGGUUUGUCGGGAAGGAGAGAGCAUCCAGGGAUCUCACGUGACUCGCUGGCCCGGCUUUUACAUUCUCCAGUGGAAAAUGCACGGCCCUCUGCCCUGCUCUGGCACUAGCCUCCCUCGCGUGGAUGAUGUCCUUGCCUCUCUGCAAGUUUCCAGUCAUAGGUGCAAGAUCAUAUACUACUAUGAGGUGCUUGCGUCCAAGGACUUCAGG